AUUUAGUCUAGGGGUGCCGCUCCCCUACUGAUGAUGACCCGGCAGGGUCGAAACUAGGU
rnacentral:hammerhead_ribozyme from 1 species